rnacentral:rRNA from 1 species
UCGAGGAUCAUUCGCAAUGGGCGAAAGCCUGACGACGCGACGCUGCGUGGAGGAUGAAGGCCCUCGGGUCGUAAACUCCUGUCAUGAGGGAAAAAGGUGCCGGGCGUGAACAACGUUCGGCCUAGAUGGUACCUCAAGAGGAAGCCACGGCUAACUCUGUGCCAGCAGCCGCGGUAAUACAGAGGUGGCAAGCGUUGUUCGGAUUUACUGGGCGUAAAGGGUGCGUAGGUGGUGAGGUAAGUUUGGUGUGAAAUCUCCGAGCCUAACUCGGAAACUGCAUUGGAAACUACUUUGCUUGAGGGUUGGAGGGGGGACUGGAAUACUUGGUGUAGCAGUGAAAUGCGUAGAUAUCAAGUGGAACACGAGUGGCGAAGGCGAGUCCCUGGACAACUCCUGACACUGAGGCACGAAAGCUAGGGGAGCAAACA